rnacentral:rRNA from 1 species
ACGGCGAGUGAAGCGGGAACAGCUCAAAUUUGAAAUCUGGCCUUCGGGUCCGAAUUGUAAUUUGCAGAGGAUGCUUUUGGUUAGGUACUUUCCGAGUUCCCUGGAACGGGACGCCUUAGAGGGUGAGAGCCCCGUACGGUUGGAUACCGAGCCUUUGUAAAGCUCCUUCGACGAGUCGAGUAGUUUGGGAAUGCUGCUCUAAAUGGGAGGUAAAUUUCUUCUAAAGCUAAAUACCGGCCAGAGACCGAUAGCGCACAAGUAGAGUGAUCGAAAGAUGAAAAGCACUUUGAAAAGAGGGUUAAAUAGCACGUGAAAUUGUUGAAAGGGAAGCGUUUAUGACCAGACUUUUUCCAGGCGGAUCAUCCGGUGUUCUCACCGGUGCACUUCGUCUGGUUGAGGCCAGCAUCGGUUUUCGUAGAGGGAUAAAAGCAGUAGGAAUGUGAUUCCCCCGGGAAUGUUAUAGCCUAUUGUAUAAUACCUUUAUGGGGACCGAGGUUCGCGCAUCUGCAAGGAUGCUGGCGUAAUGGUCAUCAACGACCCGUCUUGAAACACGGACCAAGGAGUCGAACAUUUGUGCGAGUGUUUGGGUGUUAAACCCUCACGCGUAAUGAAAGUGAACGGAGGUGAGAGCCCUUACGGGUGCAUCAUCGACCGAUCCUGAUGUUUUCGGAUGGAUUUGAGUAAGAGCAUAACUGUUCGGACCCGAAAGAUGGUGAACUAUGCGUGGAUAGGGUGAAGCCAGAGGAAACUCUGGUGGAGGCUCGCAGCGGUUCUGACGUGCAAAUCGAUC